rnacentral:rRNA from 1 species
GCAAGUCGAGCGAAUGGAUUAAGAGCUUGCUCUUAUGAAGUUAGCGGCGGACGGGUGAGUAACACGUGGGUAACCUGCCCAUAAGACUGGGAUAACUCCGGGAAACCGGGGCUAAUACCGGAUAACAUUUUGAACCGCAUGGUUCGAAAUUGAAAGGCGGCUUCGGCUGUCACUUAUGGAUGGACCCGCGUCGCAUUAGCUAGUUGGUGAGGUAACGGCUCACCAAGGCAACGAUGCGUAGCCGACCUGAGAGGGUGAUCGGCCACACUGGGACUGAGACACGGCCCAGACUCCUACGGGAGGCAGCAGUAGGGAAUCUUCCGCAAUGGACGAAAGUCUGACGGAGCAACGCCGCGUGAGUGAUGAAGGCUUUCGGGUCGUAAAACUCUGUUGUUAGGGAAGAACAAGUGCUAGUUGAAUAAGCUGGCACCUUGACGGUACCUAACCAGAAAGCCACGGCUAACUACGUGCCAGCAGCCGCGGUAAUACGUAGGUGGCAAGCGUUAUCCGGAAUUAUUGGGCGUAAAGCGCGCGCAGGUGGUUUCUUAAGUCUGAUGUGAAAGCCCACGGCUCAACCGUGGAGGGUCAUUGGAAACUGGGAGACUUGAGUGCAGAAGAGGAAAGUGGAAUUCCAUGUGUAGCGGUGAAAUGCGUAGAGAUAUGGAGGAACACCAGUGGCGAAGGCGACUUUCUGGUCUGUAACUGACAC